rnacentral:rRNA from 1 species
GGGUUGUGAGGUUAAGCGACUAAGCGUACACGGUGGAUGCCCCGCAGUCAGAGGCGAUGAAGGACGUGCUAAUCUGCGAUAAGCGUCGGUAAGGUGAUAUGAACCGUUAUAACCGGCGAUUUCCGAAUGGGGAAACCCAGUGUGUUUCGACACACUAUCAUUAACUGAAUCCAUAGGUUAAUGAGGCGAACCGGGGGAACUGAAACAUCUAAGUACCCCGAGGAAAAGAAAUCAACCGAGAUUCCCCCAGUAGCGGCGAGCGAACGGGGAGCAGCCCAGAGCCUGAAUCAGUGUGUGUGUUAGUGGAAGCGUCUGGAAAGGCGCGCGAUACAGGGUGACAGCCCCGUACACAAAAAUGCACAUAUUGUGAGCUCGAUGAGUAGGGCGGGACACGUGGUAUCCUGUCUGAAUAUGGGGGGACCAUCCUCCAAGGCUAAAUACUCCUGACUGACCGAUAGUGAACCAGUACCGUGAGGGAAAGGCGAAAAGAACCCCGGCGAGGGGAGUGAAAAAGAACCUGAAACCGUGUACGUACAAGCAGUGGGAGCACGCUUAGGCGUGUGACUGCGUACCUUUUGUAUAAUGGGUCAGCGACUUAUAUUCUGUAGCAAGGUUAACCGAAUAGGGGAGCCGAAGGGAAACCGAGUCUUAACUGGGCGUUAAGUUGCAGGGUAUAGACCCGAAACCCGGUGAUCUAGCCAUGGGCAGGUUGAAGGUUGGGUAACACUAACUGGAGGACCGAACCGACUAAUGUUGAAAAAUUAGCGGAUGACUUGUGGCUGGGGGUGAAAGGCCAAUCAAACCGGGAGAUAGCUGGUUCUCCCCGAAAGCUAUUUAGGUAGCGCCUCGUGAAUUCAUCUCCGGGGUAGAGCACUGUUUCGGCAAGGGGUCAUCCCGACUUACCAACCCGAUGCAAACUGCGAAUACCGGAGAAUGUUAUCACGGAGACACACGGCGGGUGCUAACGUCCGUCGUGAAGAGGGAAACAACCCAGACCGCCAGCUAAGGUCCCAAAGUCAUGGUUAAGUGGGAAACGAUGUGGGAAGGCCCAGACAGCCGAUGUUGGCUUAGAAGCAGCCAUCAUUUAAAGAAAGCGUAAUAGCUCACUGGUCGAGUCGGCCUGCGCGGAAGAUGUAACGGGGCUAAACCAUGCACCGAAGCUGCGGCAGCGACGCUUAUGCGUUGUUGGGUAGGGGAGCGUUCUGUAAGCCUGUGAAGGUGUGCUGUGAGGCAUGCUGGAGGUAUCAGAAGUGCGAAUGCUGACAUAAGUAACGAUAAAGCGGGUGAAAAGCCCGCUCGCCGGAAGACCAAGGGUUCCUGUCCAACGUUAAUCGGGGCAGGGUGAGUCGACCCCAAGGCGAGGCCGAAAGGCGUAGUCGAUGGGAAACAGGUUAAUAUUCCUGUACUUGGUGUUACUGCGAAGGGGGACGGAGAAGGCUAUGUUGGCCGGGCGACGGUUGUCCCGGUUUAAGCGUGUAGGCUGGUUUUCCGUGCAAAUCCGGAAAAUCAAGGCUGAGGCGUGAUGACGAGGCACUACGGUGCUGAAGCAACAAAUGCCCUGCUUCCGGAAAAGCCUCUAAGCAUCAGGUAACAUCAAAUCGUACCCCAAACCGACACAGGUGGUCAGGUAGAGAAUACCAAGGCGCUUGAGAGAACUCGGGUGAAGGAACUAGGCAAAAUGGUGCCGUAACUUCGGGAGAAGGCACGCUGAUAUGUAGGUGAAGUCCCUCGCGGAUGGAGCUGAAAUCAGUCGAAGAUACCAGCUGGCUGCAACUGUUUAUUAAAAACACAGCACUGUGCAAACACGAAAGUGGACGUAUACGGUGUGACGCCUGCCCGGUGCCGGAAGGUUAAUUGAUGGGGUUAGCCGCAAGGCGAAGCUCUUGAUCGAAGCCCCGGUAAACGGCGGCCGUAACUAUAACGGUCCUAAGGUAGCGAAAUUCCUUGUCGGGUAAGUUCCGACCUGCACGAAUGGCGUAAUGAUGGCCAGGCUGUCUCCACCCGAGACUCAGUGAAAUUGAACUCGCUGUGAAGAUGCAGUGUACCCGCGGCAAGACGGAAAGACCCCGUGAACCUUUACUAUAGCUUGACACUGAACAUUGAGCCUUGAUGUGUAGGAUAGGUGGGAGGCUUUGAAGUGUGGACGCCAGUCUGCAUGGAGCCGACCUUGAAAUACCACCCUUUAAUGUUUGAUGUUCUAACGUUGACCCGUAAUCCGGGUUGCGGACAGUGUCUGGUGGGUAGUUUGACUGGGGCGGUCUCCUCCUAAAGAGUAACGGAGGAGCACGAAGGUUGGCUAAUCUGGUCGGACAUCAGGAGGUUAGUGCAAUGGCAUAAGCCAGCUUGACUGCGAGCGUGACGGCGCGAGCAGGUGCGAAAGCAGGUCAUAGUGAUCCGGUGGUUCUGAAUGGAAGGGCCAUCGCUCAACGGAUAAAAGGUACUCCGGGGAUAACAGGCUGAUACCGCCCAAGAGUUCAUAUCGACGGCGGUGUUUGGCACCUCGAUGUCGGCUCAUCACAUCCUGGGGCUGAAGUAGGUCCCAAGGGUAUGGCUGUUCGCCAUUUAAAGUGGUACGCGAGCUGGGUUUAGAACGUCGUGAGACAGUUCGGUCCCUAUCUGCCGUGGGCGCUGGAGAACUGAGGGGGCUGCUCCUAGUACGAGAGGACCGGAGUGGACGCAUCACUGGUGUUCGGGUUGUCAUGCCAAUGGCACUGCCCGGUAGCUAAAUGCGGAAGAGAUAAGUGCUGAAAGCAUCUAAGCACGAAACUUGCCCCGAGAUGAGUUCUCCCUGACUCCUUGAGAGUCCUGAAGGAACGUUGAAGACGACGACGUUGAUAGGCCGGGUGUGUAAGCGCAGCGAUGCGUUGAGCUAACCGGUACUAAUGAACCGUGAGGCUUAACCUUACAACGCCGAAGGUGUUU